UGAAGAUGUGGCUGAUUCUGAGCCAGAGAAUGAAGCUGGUGAGGACUCUGAGAAAACCACCAAUGAAGAACAGGAUAUAGUGGAUGUUGAUGAAGUCCCCUCUGAAGAAGAUCUGCAAUCUCCACCUACUCAAAAAGGUAUUGGGAGAAGACUGAGAAGCAGGACCACUACACCUGCACCUGCUGUUACCACUACCCCUGUU
rnacentral:lncRNA from 1 species